AAAAUAAUCAUUAACAAACACCGCAUACAAGUUUCAAUUACCUUAACGCCCUUGCUAGCUAGUAGCCACAUACAACAAGAGGGAGUCUUACUGCAAGAACAAAAUGGAUAACCAAGAAAAUUACAUCAAGGGCAAAGAAUCUAUUCCAAUAAUCUUCCAGGAGGAUGGCAAGCGACUCAAUUCAAAUGGAAGCUUCCUCUCAGCUUCUUUGUUUUCUUGCAGGAAUUUUCCUAAUAAAGAUUACACAAAACCAUAUCAUCAUUUUGAAAUGGUAGUUACAGCAGGGAAGGAAUAAUGAUCAAAGUUCAAACAGUAAGAUUAGGCUAUAAAAAAGUUGCAAUUAUAUUGGGGGAGGACCACUAUAGUGUUGAAAGCUACUAAUGAGAUAUAGAAAUGGAGUGAUCCGCAACUCAUUUGUUUCUAUCUUUACAUGCGCUUGCCAUGAUACUAUGACUGUUUAAUUACAAGAACCAGGUAGAGAUGGGGAAGACAGGCAAAUGGCUUCGAAGUUUCUUGACAGGAAAGA
rnacentral:misc_RNA from 1 species